UAGGGAAUUUUUCACAAUGAGCGAAAGCUUGAUGGAGCAAUGCCGCGUGAACGAUGAAGGUCUUUAAGAUUGUAAAGUUCUUUUAUUUGGGAAGAAUGACUUUAGCAGGUAAUGGCUAGAGUUUGACUGUACCAUUUUGAAUAAGUGACGACUAACUAUGUGCCAGCAGUCGCGGUAAUACAUAGGUCGCAAGCGUUAUCCGGAUUUAUUGGGCGUAAAGCAAGCGCAGGCGGAUUGAAAAGUCUGGUGUUAAAGGCAGCUGCUUAACAGUUGUAUGCAUUGGAAACUAUUAAUCUAGAGUGUGGUAGGGAGUUUUGGAAUUUCAUGUGGAGCGGUGAAAUGCGUAGAUAUAUGAAGGAACACCAGUGGCGAAGGCGAAAACUUAGGCCAUUACUGACGCUUAGGCUCGAAAGUGUGGGGAGCAAAUAGGAUUAGAUACCCUAGUAGUCCACACCGUAAACGAUAGAUACUAGCUGUCGGGGCGAUCCCCUCGGUAGUGAAGUUAACACAUUAAGUAUCUCGCCUGGGUAGUACAUUCGCAAGAAU
rnacentral:rRNA from 1 species